UACAGAGGGUGCAAGCGUUAAUCGGAAUUACUGGGCGUAAAGCGUGCGCAGACGGUUGCGUAAGACAGAUGUGAAAUCCCCGGGCUCAACCUGGGAACUGCAUUUGUGACUGUAGAGCUGGAGUACGGUAGAGGGGGAUGGAAUUCCGCGUGUAGCAGUGAAAUGCGUAGAUAUGCGGAGGAACACCGAUGGCGAAGGCAAUCCCCUGGACCUGUACUGACGCUCAUGCACGAAAGCGUGGGGAGCAAACAGG
rnacentral:rRNA from 1 species